rnacentral:rRNA from 1 species
AAUGAGAGUGGCGAACGGGUGAGUAACGCGUGAGCAACCUGCCUAUGACAGUGGGAUAGCCUCGGGAAACCGGGAUUAAUACCGCAUAAAAUCGUAGAAACACAUGUUUUAACGGUCAAAGAUUUAUCGGUCAUAGAUGGGCUCGCGUCUGAUUAGCUAGUUGGUGAGAUAACAGCCCACCAAGGCGACGAUCAGUAGCCGGUCUGAGAGGAUGAACGGCCACAUUGGAACUGAGACACGGUCCAAACUCCUACGGGAGGCAGCAGUGGGGAAUAUUGCACAAUGGGGGAAACCCUGAUGCAGCGACGCCGCGUGAACGAAGAAGGUAUUCGUAUCGUAAAGUUCUGUCCUAUGGGAAGAUAAUGACAGUACCAUAGAAGAAAGCUCCGGCUAAAUACGUGCCAGCAGCCGCGGUAAUACGUAUGGAGCGAGCGUUGUCCGGAAUUAUUGGGCGUAAAGGGUACGCAGGCGGUUUAAUAAGUCGAAUGUUAAAGAUCGGGGCUCAACCCCGUAAAGCAUUGGAAACUGAUAAACUUG